UAGACAGUAGAUGGCAGUGUGAGAUGGGA
rnacentral:piRNA from 1 species